rnacentral:rRNA from 1 species
AGUGAACGCUGGCGGCAGGCCUUACACAUGCAAGUCGAACGGCAGCAUGAUAUAGGUUGCUAGAUAGAUGGGGAGUGGCGAAGGGGGGAGGAAAACACCGGGGAGUGCCCUGUUGUGGGGGGUAACUAGUAGGAAGACUAGCGAAUACAGCACACACCCUGUGGGGGUAAGAGGGGGGCCGCAACGCACCUUGCGAGAGGAACGGACGCGAUGUCGGAUUAGCUAGUUGGCGGGGUAAAGGCCCACCAAGGCGACGAUCUGUAGCUGGUCUGAGAGGAUGAUCAGCCACACUGGAACUGAGACACGGUCCAGACUCCUACGGGAGGCAGCAGUGGGGAAUUUUGGACAAUGGGCGCAAGCCUGAUCCAGCCAUACCGCGUGUGUGAAGAGGGCCUUCGGGUUGUAAAGCCCUUUUGUUGGGAAAGAAAAGCAUCAGGUUAAUACCCCGCUGUUCUGACGGUACCCAAAGAAUAAGCACCGGCUAACUUCGUG